AGAGUUUGAUCCUGGCUCAGGAUGAACGCUGGCGGCGUGCUUAACACAUGCAAGUCGAACGGGGAACAUUUUAUGGAAGCUUCGGUGGAAAUAGCUUGUUCCUAGUGGCGGACGGGUGAGUAACGCGUGGGUAACCUGCCUCACACUGGGGGAUAACAGUCAGAAAUGACUGCUAAUACCGCAUAAGCGCACGGGAUUGCAUGAUCCAGUGUGAAAAACUCCGGUGGUGUGAGAUGGACCCGCGUUGGAUUAGCCAGUUGGCAGGGUAACGGCCUACCAAAGCGACGAUCCAUAGCCGGCCUGAGAGGGUGGACGGCCACAUUGGGACUGAGACACGGCCCAGACUCCUACGGGAGGCAGCAGUGGGGAAUAUUGCACAAUGGGGGAAACCCUGAUGCAGCGACGCCGCGUGAAGGAAGAAGUAUCUCGGUAUGUAAACUUCUAUCAGCAGGGAAGAAAAUGACGGUACCUGACUAAGAAGCCCCGGCUAACUACGUGCCAGCAGCCGCGGUAAUACGUAGGGGGCAAGCGUUAUCCGGAUUUACUGGGUGUAAAGGGAGCGUAGACGGAGCAGCAAGUCUGAUGUGAAAGGCGGGGGCUCAACCCCCGGACUGCAUUGGAAACUGUUGAUCUUGAGUACCGGAGAGGUAAGCGGAAUUCCUAGUGUAGCGGUGAAAUGCGUAGAUUUNANGAGGAAACACAGUGGCGAAGGCGGCUUACUGGNNACGUACUGACGUUGAAGCUCGAAAGCGUNGGGAGCAACAGGAAUAGAUACCCUGGUAGUCCACGCGUAACGAUGAUACUAGGUGUCGGGUGGCAGAGCAUUCGGUGCGCACAACGCAGUAGUAUCCACCUGGGAUACGUUCGCAGAUGAACUCAAGGAUUGAC
rnacentral:rRNA from 1 species